rnacentral:lncRNA from 1 species
CUCAUACGUUUGAAAAUAUCCGAUUUACCCUUUUUUUUCUUUCUAAAAUACCCCUCAUAUGUUCCACCGUUAUUGCAAAAUACCCUCGCAGUUAUCUCCUGUUAAGUUAACUUGGGUUAAACGUGAGUUAAAUAUAUACCACAGUUAAAAAAAAUUAAAAUGCCAAUGUCACGCCCCGGGACCCAACGGAAACCCGCCCGGCGCGUGCCCAGACCCGCCAUAUGUCUAAAACAU